rnacentral:rRNA from 1 species
AGUCGACGGUAACAGGAAGAAGCUUGCUUCUUUGCUGACGAGUGGCGGACGGGUGAGUAAUGUCUGGGAAACUGCCUGAUGGAGGGGAAUAACUACUGGAAACGGUAGCUAAUACCGCAUAACGUCGCAAGACCAAAGAGGGGGACCUUCGGGCCUCUUGCCAUCGGAUGUGCCCAGAUGGGAUUAGCUAGUAGGUGGGGUAACGGCUCACCUAGGCGACGAUCCCUAGCUGGUCUGAGAGGAUGACCAGCCACACUGGAACUGAGACACGGUCCAGACUCCUAAGGGAGGCAGCAGUGGGGAAUAUUGCACAAUGGGCGCAAGCCUGAUGCAGCCAUGCCGCGUGUAUGAAGAAGGCCUUCGGGUUGUAAAGUGCUUUCAGCGGGGAGGAAGGGAGUAAAGUUAAUACCUUUGCUCAUUGACGUUACCCGCAGAAGAAGCACCGGCUAACUCCGUGCCAGCAGCCGCGGUAAUACGGAGGGUGCAAGCGUUAAUCGGAAUUACUGGGCGUAAAGCGCACGCAGGCGGUUUGUUAAGUCAGAUGUGAAAUCCCCGGGCUCAACCUGGGAACUGCAUCUGAUACUGGCAAGCUUGAGUCUCGUAGAGGGGGGUAGAAUUCCAGGUGUAGCGGUGAAAUGCGUAGAGAUCUGGAGGAAUACCGGUGGCGAANGCGGCCCCCUGGACGAAGACUGACGCUCAGGUGCGAAAGCGUGGGGAGCAACAGGAUUAGAUACCCUGUAGUC